rnacentral:rRNA from 1 species
AGAGUUUGAUCCUGGCUCAGAGCGAACGCUGGCGGCGUACUUAACACAUGCAAGUCGAACGAGAAUCGCCUGUGUAGCAAUACACAGGUGGCUCUAGUGGCGUACGGGUGAGUAACACGUGGGCAACCUGCCCUUGAGUCCGGGAUACCCUCUCGAAAGGGAGGCUAAUACUGGAUACGUUCCUCGGGUCGCGAGAUCUGGGGAGGAAAGGUGGCGAAAGCUGCCGCUCUUGGAGGGGCUCGCGGCCUAUCAGCUAGUUGGUGAGGUAAUGGCUCACCAAGGCUAUGACGGGUAGCUGGUCUGAGAGGACGACCAGCCACACGGGAACUGAGACACGGUCCCGACUCCUACGGGAGGCAGCAGUGGGGAAUAUUGGACAAUGGGCGAAAGCCUGAUCCAGCCAUGCCGCGUGUGUGAAGAAGGUCUUCGGAUUGUAAAGCACUUUAAGUUGGGAGGAAGGGCAGUAAGUUAAUACCUUGCUGUUUUGACGUUACCGACAGAAUAAGCACCGGCUAACUCUGUGCCAGCAGCCGCGGUAAUAC